UACAGAGGUCUCAAGCGUUGUUCGGAUUCAUUGGGCGUAAAGGGUGCGUAGGCGGCGCGGUAAGUCGGGUGUGAAAUCUCGGAGCUUAACUCCGAAACUGCAUUCGAUACUGCCGUGCUUGAGGAGCUGGAGAGGAGACUGGAAUUUACGGUGUAGCGGUGAAAUGCGUAGAUAUCGAUGAAGGAAGACCAGUGGCGGAAGGCGGGUCUCUGGACAGUUCCUGACGCUGAGGCACGAAGGCCAGGGGAGCAAACGGG
rnacentral:rRNA from 1 species